AUGGGCACCAGGCUCCUCAGCUGUGCAGCCCUGUGUCUCCUGGCAGCAGGCUCUUUUCAUGCCGAAGUCACACAGACUCCAGGAUAUUUGGUCAAAGGAAAAGGACAGAAAACAAAGAUGGAUUGUACCCCCGAAAAAGGACAUACUUAUGUUUAUUGGUAUCAACAGAAUCAGAAUAAAGAGUUUACAUUUUUGAUUUCCUUUCAGGAUGAACAGGUUCUUCAAGAAACGGAGCUGCACAAGAAGCGGUUCUCAUCUCAAUGCCGCAAGAACCUACCUUGCAGCCUGGAGAUCCCGUCCUCGGAACCAGGAGACACGGCACUGUAUCUCUGUGCCAGCAGCCAAUCCACAGCACUGAAAUGUCAGUUCCUCUUAGCACACAAACUUGUCACAGGCCCAGCUCAGGAAGCAGGCCUCAUGGUGAGAAUGAGAUGGUCACUAAAGAUUACAAAUUCAGUUGCCAUCAUUUCCCUACGCUGAUAAACACCAGCCCAGCUCUUUCUAAGCCUGAGUUCAAAAUCCCAGGAGAAAAAACCAGAUCGGUCAUGCAUGAUCCAGCCAUGAACCUUCUCAUAGAGCACUCAGCAGUAGGCAUGUAUGUAUGUAUUUAAAAUCACAUAAAUGUUACUUUUCCACUCA